UUUCAGACCUUAAAAGAACUUCUUGAAUAAUGAAAAUUUGCCUCAAGUGACAAGUUCAAGUGAGUAGCAUCAAUAAACAGCAAAAUAGACAAUACAAGUCAGACUAAAGGAUCAUAUGUCAUUUUGCCAGUCUAUACCAUUGCCCCUAACCUAUCCUCUCUCUGCAGGGCAUCUCCAGCCUGUUCUGUGAUAUCUCCGUAGUGUCUACCCAAGAGAUCAUAUUCAAUAUGGAUGAAGGAAAACUUCUGUUAUUUUUCCAUGCUUUACCUACUUUUUUCCCAACCACUUUUUCUAACAGGAGCAGUGCUCCAUCACUCUGACCAUGUUGCUGGCCCUCUCUGGACUUCCUCCAUAAGGUUGAUAACCUUCCUUUGCUGGAGGCCCCAGAGCUGGAUGCAGCCCUGCAGGUAUAAGCAUGUACCAAUGACUUCCGGAAGGUGACUGUAGCCCAAGUUAGGAAGACUGGCUUUUCAAUUAUUUUCAGAUGUCUAAAGAUGUGCCCUGAUUAAUUCCACCUUGCAACAUAUUAAUGAGAACAUUAGAACAUUGAAAACUCACUGUGAUAACACUUUAAAGGGAAAAUCCUAAGUCAGUUGAAAAAGAUCAAUUCAAAUACUUGGUUGAAGAGAAUAAUGCUUUUACUUUG